UUGAAAUCGAUGUGCAUGCCCAACAUAGCCCCGAUGACAGGGCGGGAAGAUCUGUCACGCAACGCUAUCAUUUGCAUAAACAACGGAGAGAUUUUGUCUGCCUCCGGAUUAAAAAUCAUUCAGCUGGGUUUGACCUUUGACAGUACAAGCUUGCUACUAGCCACACGAAUUAUCCCACUUCGCGUCGUGGUGAAUCGCCGAGAAUACGAGAUUCUCCUUGUCUUCGGGAAAGAUUGAGAUAUCUUAAAACAAAUGUAUCAGAAAUCAAAUGAAGCCGCUUUCCAUGUUUAUACA